rnacentral:lncRNA from 1 species
UGCACCGCGAGCCUGUGGCCUGAUUUCUCCCCCUCCAUUGUUGUCGCUAAUACAAAAGGCUACAACUCCAGUGUGGUCACUGGGCCUGCAUUGAAUUACACGCCAGGCCAUUCUUCGGGCCGGAGCCUUUGUAGGCUGGGAUGCGUUUCCUCCCAGGGCCAGAACUCUGGGCCUCGCCAGCCUUUACGAGUUGUCUGCCUCCCUCCGCCACUUCCACCCACCUACCGCCUUUGUUCCUUUCAGCUGGCAGCCAGGCCCUCGCUUGCCUUUUGGUUGGUAUGAGAUCACUGGCGGCGGGCUUGAGCAGUCCUUCCCACCCGCUCCCCUCACUCUCAAUUAAGCACUGCGCGUAAAAUCCCAGGCCUAUUCAGUCAUCUCUUCUUAUCUCUUUCUCAACCAUCCCCCCAACACCCAUCCCUCUCUCUCAAGUUUCUAAGGCUGCCGUUGCUAGGGAACUCAAACCUGAGGGCUGAAGGGAGGUUUUCUAAGGUGUCUGCCAAACUCCCAAAACUCAGAGGGCGGAGGCAGCACAAAGUCUUUGGGAUUCCCCAAACGCUGAAGAGAGUUACAUGUAACUCACCACCCUCUACCCCAUAUCCUUGUGUUCAGCAUCAUGUUUGGAUUCCGGGAAAUUCAGUGGUGAAGUGGGAAAAGAGAUUUCAAAUCACACUAAGAAGCAAUUUCUCCUAAUGUAAAAGCUGGAAGGGGUCUCCUCUCAAAGGAAAAACAUCCCAAGCUUCUGCCCUGGGUGCAAGGCAUGGAGGUACAAUAGAAAGAAGCAGAAGACUUUGGUUUGUAUCCUGGUUCUGGCUGUAACUUGUAGGUCACACCUUAAGGUCAUUUCAUUCCUCUGUUCUUGGGUGUCCUUGCCUGUCGAAUGCUGGGGCUGGACUAAAUAAACUAUGAAAAUCCGAAUUUUACAAACAUAUAUCCACCCAAAGUACUUGAAGAAAAAUGAAGCAUUUUGCACUGAACAGAGCUUGGCAAUUUUCUCCAAAGGCAAUAGAAAUGCAUCUGACUAAAUGGUGAAGGAGAUGAUCAUAAGCUCUUUUCCUAUAAGAAUCCUGGCAAUUUUCACACUCUCGGAGGGACUUUCCCAUCAAUUUUGAUUCCCAUGAUUUCACACUCAUGGAAAUUUCCUCAGAGAAGCAGUUUCUUUGGCAACUUCAUGCUCAUGAUCAUCAUAGCAUCAAUAGGAGUGACGCAGACAUGUCAGCAGGAGAAUAGGCCUCUUCUGAGCAGUGGGAAAAGGCGCUGUCUCCUUUUGUUACCAAAAAAAUAAAUACACAAGACACAAAAGAUUUUUACCACACUUGUCACAUACAGUGAAAUAAGCGGAAGAUAAAGCUAAAAUAAUCUCCAUAAAACAAAGGCUUUGUGUGUGUUUCAAAGACAUUUUAUGUUGCAUAACAUGGAAUUAACUCUAGCUCUUUGAGCAUUACAUAUAUAUAUGAGCAUUACAUAUAUAUAUAUAAUGCUCAUAUAUGAGCAUUAUAUAUAUAUAUGUGUGUGCGUGUGUGUAUAAUGCUCAAAGAGCUGGAGCUAAUAUAUUCUGAAAUGCAAGUAUAUUGAAUUCUUCCUUAUGCUUCCCCUCCCAGGAAAACAGGAUGCCACUUAAAAAAAAAAAAAGACUGAAAAGAAACAUUGUUUGGGGAGAGCUUAUCUAUAAACAAUGAGUUGUCCUCAACAAUAAACAGUUCCACCAAGUGGUACCCGUGGUCACAUUCACUAUGCCUUGGUUUGGUAUAUGUUGUACUAAAAUCUUGACUUAGCUUUGAUUUACUAUUGUCUGUUUAGUUGCAUGUUCUUCUGAUUGUGGUCCGUGGAUCAGCAGCAACAGCAUCAUCUGGGAGUUGGUUGAAACACAGAAUCUCUAGCCCUACCCAGGCCUAUUGCAGCAGAAUCUGCCUUGUAAAAAGACCCCCAAGUGAUUUUUACAUUAUUACCAGAAAUAGACUGCUCUACUCUACAACACCCCCUCUAUCAGAGAUAAUGUUCAAAAGUGGUUUGAUUAUUUUGAAAUGGCAUUUUCCUUUCUGGGGAAAAAACUAUAGAAAUCAUUGGCUACAUCGGUCAAAAAUGGCACUAGUACUCCAGUGACAGAGAACAAUGAAAUGUAGCAUGCUAUCAUUAGUGUAAGAAAAUGCCAACAGACACCUGUGAUCAAUGAGGCUUGCAUUUGUGGUAAUUUUGGGACUCCUCCAUCCACAUUCUCUUGACCCAGGCUUCCUAUGACCAAAUGUUCACUUUUGCAAGAUGGCUGAGGUUAAGAGUGCAAUCUGGCCACAGAAAGGAGAAAAGCUUGCUGACCCAUGCUGACCUCUGACCUUGACCUCAUUAGCUAACCAAAUGAGCUAACCAGCCAUGGACAUCAGAGAGCAUUAUGUGUUGAUUGAGCCGAAGCAUAAGAAGGACCAGUAAAAGAUCAGUCAUAAAGACAUUUCUACCUUGAUCACCUAUACUUAUUAAAAUGAUAUGAGGAGCACAUAUGCGAUUUCUUUUCUAUCUUCCUGCAUUUUUCACCAUUGUACAGCAGGACUUGAAGACAACAAAAGGUUCUUUUCUUUCAUAGCUCUCUACUCUUUUCCUUCAAAGUAAUUAAAUUGUAAUUAUAAAUUUAU